GAGUUCCGAGACUAACCUAGGCGAUUUGGAGAAGUACGAAGGUGCGAAAAUGGGGACGGCUCGAGGAAUGCCUAAGGCUAGAAAGGGCAUUGAGAAAAAUCAAAGUUCUCAGGAAGAAGAAGGACGUCAGAACGAGAUCGUCGGAUAGAGCGGGACUCUUGGAGGAGGAGUGCGGGUUUAAAUAGGCCCUGAGAUCCGGC
rnacentral:lncRNA from 1 species